rnacentral:rRNA from 1 species
GAUGAACGCUAGCGGCAGGCCUAAUACAUGCAAGUCGAGGGGGCAGCAAUGUCACCGGCGGACGGGUGCGUAACACGUUUGGAAUCUGCCUUGUACAGGGGGAUAGCCCGCCGAAAGGCGGAUUAAUACCGCAUAUGCUCGUGGUCUGGCAUCAGGCAGCGAGGAAAGGAGCAAUCCGGUACGAGAUGACCAUGCGGCUGAUUAGCUAGUUGGCGGGGAGUGGCCCACCAAGGCGACGAUCAGUAGGGGACCUGAGAGGGCGAUCCCCCACACGGCG